rnacentral:rRNA from 1 species
UACGAAGGGUGCAAGCGUUACUCGGAAUUACUGGGCGUAAAGCGUGCGUAGGUGGUUCGUUAAGUCUGAUGUGAAAGCCCUGGGCUCAACCUGGGAAUGGCAUUGGAUACUGGCGACCUAGAGUGCGGUAGAGGGGUGUGGAAUUCCCGGUGUAGCAGUGAAAUGCGUAGAUAUCGGGAGGAACAUCUGUGGCGAAGGCGACACCCUGGACCAGCACUGACACUGAGGCACGAAAGCGUGGGGAGCGAACAGG